UUAUUUUUACUAAUUCGUUAAUGUUUGAAUUGCUUUUCAGUUUGAUUAAAACUGCCGACUCUUCCAAAGGAGCUGAUUGAUAUAAAGCUUCCUAAGUAUUUUCACGAUCAGACAAACUUAACCAAAUUGAGCAUCUGUUUGGGUGUGGAGGAAAAAAACAAUGGAAGCACAAUCAAUUGUGAAGCUCAAGAACACAGUGUGAGCAGCUACACGUUGCAGAGAAAUCGAGGUAUCCACAAGCCAGUCAAAGUUGAUGACAGCCCUUCAAUGAUAGCUGAAAAUGGUGUGAGUAGCUCCAGCUUG